GACGGAGGGGGCAAGCGUUGUCCGGAAUCACUGGGCGUAAAGGGCGCGUAGGUGGCUUCGUGCGUCGGUGCUGAAAGCGCCGGGCUUAACCCGGCGAGGCGUGCCGAUACGACGAGGCUCGAGGCAGGGAGAGGGUAGCGGAAUUCCGGGUGUAGUGGUGAAAUGCGUAGAGAUCGGGAGGAACAUCAGUUGCGAAGGCGGCUCUCUGGACCAGCACUGACACUGAGGCACGAAAGCGUGGGGAGCAAACAGG
rnacentral:rRNA from 1 species